ACAGAGUGUAGAUUACUUCCUGGUUGGAAUCACGUGGUCUGUGCCCUCUGCAGUCAGUGACAGACAUGUCUAGAAAUAGCAGAAUAGUGCUCAUUUUCGGGGGUUUUAUCACUGCAGUGGCAGCAGCUUUUUACCCUAUAUAUUUUUACCCUAUGAAGCACAUAGAUGAAUACAGUAAGUGGAAUUGGGAUGUAUGUAAAGCAGCAGUGGUGGUGAAGGACUUGGGUUGCACUGCAUUAUAUAACCCCCUAUUGCUGUUUGGGAGGGGGUUAUUGUUAUAAUAAUGUCUCCUGCUAAAAGCUGCAUGGUCACUCUGAGUAUGUACCAAUAAAUACAAAAUAUAGAAUCCUGCACAGAUGUUUUAAUAGUUGUUUAUAUUUAAAAUUGCAUAACAUUUUAAAACGUUACAUCUUAAUAACCUAUAUUAAAUAACUGGUACACCAGCACGUGUAAUCUGUUUGCUUUAAGUGAACAAACUUCUCCUUUAAAGGGACUAAAUUUAAAAUCUUGCCACCCAACAUCUAAAGGAUGUAGUAAUACAGAUGAUGUUGAAGUUGGCUUCUUAUUCAGUGAUAGAAGAUAGCUUGUUAUUCAUCUAACUUUUUUAUUUAUUCAUAAUGUAUGUAAAUAUUAUGACCGGUGAAAUAUAAAUAUUACUUGAUUAAUACAGUAUUCAUAUACAAACCAUAUUUCUACACAUUUCUGAUAUAAUAAUGAAAACAUUAAAAUUGUUAAUUAUUCAGAAAUCCCCAUUGUAAUGCAUUGAGUCGAUGGUGCCACUUUGGUGAUAGAUUUUGAUAUUAAAUGUUUGACUCAGGCCAAAUGUUGUUGGAUGAUCUAGAGGGGCCCCAAGUGUAUUGAAAUCAAUGGAAUUUUGGGUGAGCCAAGAUGGUUUUCAUAUAGGGAAACCUUGGUUACUUAUUCAGAAAUCCCCAUUGAUAUGCAUUGAGUUAAUGGUGCCACUUUGAUGCCAGUUUUUAAUCAAAAUUGUGGUUUGGUUCAUGCUAAAUAUUAUUGUAUGACAAAGAGGGGUCCCCAGUGGAUGGGGGGGAUUUAGUUUAAAUGGCCUUAAAUGGAUUUAGUUUAAAUGGCCUUAAUUUAAUGGUGGCAUCUUGAUGCUCCCUUUAAGUGGCAAAUGUGUUAUUUAUUUUGGAGGCAGAAGAUACAAUGUACUACUUUACAGAAACAAGAGCCAAUUUGAAUGAGCCAACUUUAUGUAGCUAAUAACAUUGUUUAUUAUUUUUAUUGUUUUCAUUAUUAUAUCAGAAAUGUGUAGAAAUAUGGCUUGCAUAUGAAUACUGUAUUAAUCAAGUAAUAUUUAUAUUGCAGAGUUCAUAAUAUUUUCAUACAUUUUGAAUGAAUAAAAAAGUUAGAUGAAUAAGAAGCUAUCUUCUAUUUCUGAAUAAGAAGCACACUGAAUAAGAAUUUAACUUCAGCCUGCGAAUAAGAAGCUAACUUCAACAUUAUGUAAUACAAAUAUUUUUUUUUUAAAUUACUGUUUACCCAGUUGUGGCGAAACUAACCUCGCCACUGGGUUAUGGAGAAGCCUGAUUGCCAGCCUCAUGACUAUGGACCCUCUCAUCAGCCCAUGCUAGACUUAAACCCCAUGGCGAUUUGACUGUGGGAUCUGUGCGCUGUUUGGAUAUAUUUAGUGCUCAGAUCCAAGCCAUCUGGUGAUAGGUUGAAUGUGGGGGUUCUGUUCAGUAUGAUAGGAAUGAUGUAUUUUUGUGUAUUUUUGCUGUUGUUGUGAAUAGAGACAUUUUCUGUACCUGGAGAUAGUUGGCUUACCACAACCAGUUAAGCCAAUUAUCUCCAGGAUAGAGGACUCUGUGGAACUGGUUUUGGAUGGAAAGCCAUGCUUCAGUGGUCACAAAGGACUUUGACCUAACUUUUAAACCAAUGGAAGGAAUUGUCUGAUUUUUUGAGUAGGUUUUUGUUUGCAGUAUGCUGAUUCUGAAAAUGUUAUGUGAAUGUGAUGUAUACUUUUAAAGUUACAGUACAUGUGUAAAAACUGUAUUUCUCUGCCUGUGAUAAUUACAUUAACCCAUUGUGUUCAGUAAUUAUAUCACAGGCAGAGGGGAGGAUUUUGUGUGGGAGUGUCUGAGUGUAUUGUACAUAUUGACUGGUUGUUCUGCAAAACCCUGUGGCCGGUACUAUGUUUGUAAAAUGUGCAUAAAAGCAGAGUGUUUGAUUAAAAGCUUCAGUUCUACUUCACUCUCAAUUUGGAGUGCCGUCUCUUAUUGGGGGAAUCUGCUACAAGGGAUUGCUAUGCUUGUCAUACUCCCUUGCUAAAUCACUACUAAGCUCUUGUAAGAGCUUGUUCCUGCCUUGCUCUCUGGAGGAGUCUACGGUGAUUAUGGUGUCGGCUGCAGUGCUUGGAGCCCUCAGAAAGUGCUAGGGCACCCGUCGAUCAGUUACACCAGUGUUUACUGCAUAAUUGCUGUAUUGUUUAAUAAAAAAAAAAAAAAAAGUGUGCUUUUUUUUUGGGGACAGGGGGGGGGAUGUAUGUUGUAAGAAUAUAAAAUAUACAAAAUAGAGCAAAAUGCAAUACAAUAAACAAAAUAAUUCUAUCAAGAUAUUUUCACAACCUCUUAUAAUCCAGUACACUUUGUUAAAUAUGGUCCAAAGACAUUUCCUUUUUUACUUUUUCUUUCUGAUAAAAUUACAUUAACUUAAUAAAAGUCCAUUUAUGCCGCUUUCCCUAACCUGCAAUAUUUUGUAUUAGCUGAAAGUAUGCUGUACAUGUCAGUGCCUAGUUUUCUAGGAAUUGUAAUUCAUCUGCUAGCUUUGACAGUCAAAAGUUUACAAUUGAACUGCAACUCUAAGAACUAAUUCAAUAAAAGUGAUGAAUAGUGAGCACCACAAAUACAAUUAUCUAUAGAGCGCCAACUUAUUCUGAAGCGCUGUACAAUGUGUAAAACAAGACAAACGUUUAAUUCUAACAAGAUCCAUACCCAAAUAAUCAUACAGUCUAAAGCCAAGUGAGCAUCAAGAAAUGCUAGCAAAUUAAUAGAUUUUGAGUUUUGAGCUAUAAAGGUGUCCAUUCAACGGGCAGAGCCUGCAUGCAGACCUAACCAGACGCCAUUUGCUUGAGCUCCUCCAAACUUGAAUCAAAUCCACCCGAUCCUGGCAAAACCAAAGCCAAUCCAACUAAAUAAUCCACAGAACCAGCAAGCUGAGCGGAGCAGGUUGAUGCCUCUUUUCCAACCGCAGAAGGAGCCCAAAGGGCGCCGCAAGACCAAGGCCUACCGCACGCCACAGAUUCUUGACAUCGAGGCACUCCUCACCACAGCCUUUGCCGAACCCACAAGAGGGACCACUCUAACACACAUGCCAGCCAUGGACCAAAGGUUGCAGAAACCCACCUCCGGGUCAGAUACCCGAGACAUCGGGGACAUGUUGCGGCCGGCGCAGCCGCGACCUACCCCAACACCCGGGGAAACAUGGAAGGCAGCAGGAACCGAGGCGGCCACAAGGGAGCUGGAGGUACCACCCACCACCCAGACCACACUCGCCUUGUCCUUAGACACCUCCGACGACUCCGCUUCACAAAGGGAGACCUGAAGGUCCUCCUAGCCAACAUACACCAAAUCCUGGCGGCAGACUCCACUAAGCUAAAACUGAGCUGCAGGCGGUCAAGAAGAGGGUGAGAACUAAUGAAGACAAUAUAACUACUACCCAAGCCAUACUCACUGCAGUACAGGACGCUGUCCAACAACUACCAAUGAACCAGAGGGCCCUAUCUGCAAAAAUCAAUGCCAUGGAGGACCGGCAACGCCGCUCACAUAAAACUCAGAGGUAUCCCUGCUGCUGUGACCGCGGAGGAAUUACCUCAUUAUAUACAGCGCCUCCUGGCCACAAUACUGCCGCCAAAUACAGCACGCAAACUAAACAUAGAUGGACUAUACUGCAUUCCCGCGACGGUUCGCACUAAAACUAACACGAACCGAGAUGUCAUCCUGCGAUGCCUCACAACUCGGGACAAAAUACAAAUCAUGCUACAGUCAAGGGGAAAACACCGCUCCCAUUCGAAAAUUCUACGCUGACAUUCUUCCAAGAUUUAACCAGCGCAACCCUAUGGUGGAGGAAAUCUUGUGGACCCGUCACCACCCAGCUAUGUUCGGCAGGCCUACCAUACCGGUGGGGGACUGACCACUCCUAUCAGGGUCAUGCAAGCUGGCACCACCUGUGUACUACAUACCAUGGACGAGGCAGACACCUUCUUGCAGCAGCUGGGACUGCCCGCUUUACCAGCAACCCCGGGACAGGCCGAGAGCUCCUAGGACUCGACCACAAUUAAACCCUUUGUCCCACGCAACUCAGAAGCGUCUCCACAAGCGACGGGAUAAGGACUGACCUCAGCCGGGGACUAAGAGGCUGGAAGCCUAACACCCAGCCAUACAAAUUGGUCAAGACUCUCUGUGACUGACCCUAUCUGCCCGCGUAACCCUGUUUUGAUUCUAGUUUAAUUGUUCCCACUGUUGUCCCCAUUAACACCUCCACGACUCACGAAGACCCCAUGACGACAAAAGCCAGACAGAAAUAAAAACACACCGCACUCGCACACAUUAACGAGUUAAAGCAAGCCCAUAAAGAGGGCACAAACCUGACCCCAUACUCUACAUGGCAUUCUGACCACCCCGCCACCCACGAACACCCCCAACAAAGAAGGGGCACUACACACACCGGCAUUGACUUUCAUAACAUACCGCCUUUAAGGCGGCAAACCCACUGACACCAUAUCGUCACAAACCUCCGAUACAACGCGACAGUUAUCCACCGUGUCACUAAGCAUGACCCAUUACACAAGCACAGGUCUACAAACACCAGACCCACUGAACGCAACUGACGCACCCACAUAGACCAACUAACAAAGCUCGAGGCAAUGUUGCCGGGACACUGUCCCACGCCCGCCAGACAGAAUGGCACUCUAACUAAACAGUGACUCGGUUACCUUGUUAAACUUGUACUCCUGUGAAAAAUAACAAAAGAUAGUGUUUAAGACAGACGCUUACCUUGUAUUGUACCUGUUGAACGUUAUUACUUACCAUGUAACCAUGCCGCACUACAAAAAAUAAAGAAUUAUAAAAAAAAGUAUCCAUUCAAAUUGUUUUGUGUCAGGGCAAGUAGAUUUAUUUUUAAUUCUAUAUCAUUUCAACAUCCAUGACCUAAUUUGGUAAUGUACCCGGUAUUUUGAUGACCAUAGCAGCUUCACACAUUGCACUGUUUUUACACGCAUUAUGGCCUUCAAUAUAACAAGUUUAAUAAAUGAGACAUAUCUGGCUGCGUGGAUUAGCAUGAAAUGGUGGCACUAUACCAUUGUCUAAAAUGGUGGAGCAGCAGUGACCACAUCUACAUUGUAAUUGUUGUGGAAUACUUUGUUUUGAAGUGAUGAUAUAGUAACUGGUAAAUUACAAGAUAUAUAUAUCCUCAUGCACAUUUGUGUCCGUGUAGGAGCUGGAGAACCUGUAAAUAUAACUGGAACUGAUAAUGUUUUUUCCGACUUUUUUUUUUUUUUUAAACCAGAGAAAAGAACAAGCUGUAAAUCGGGCUGAUGUGGUUCAGGAAGACGUGCAGCCAGUUGGUAAGCUGUAUUUGUAUUUUUUUUUCUUCUUUAAAAAAAAAAAAAAAGUAUUGGAUUUUAGUAUAAGUGAUACCUAUCUAUGUAUAAAGGGGCUGUCACAUAUGUAGAUUGUCUCACUCACAUAUUUCUGAGCCACAUAUAGUUGGCUCAGACUUUAGAAAACUCUGUUAGAUAUCCUUCUGUUUGGUUCCUGCAUUUCUCAUAGUUUGCAACCUCACCACUGUUUCCAAGUCUGUAUUCAGGAUGGACACCAGAUAUAUCCAAUUGUAGUAAUUCCCACACUAUAUUAGUAAAAAACACAAGCAAAAAAAAAAGAGAAUAAAUGUAAAAGUUGAAUGCACUGACUUGUUUCAUAAUGUCUAUGAACAGUCUAAACUGUUGUCUUAAACAGCUGUAUCUCUUACUGAUGGGAUGUUGCUGGUAUUUAAGUUUUGGACUGCCAAUAUGGGAAACGCUCUUUGAUGACAGCUGACUAUCAAUCUAUCAGUCAUUUUCUCAUCUUCGUUCUGAAUAAAUUUUUAAGGACCUGAAAGGUGUCUGUUUUGUCUUUGUCCUUGCCGACCAUAUACAAUAAAAGAUAAUUGAAUUUAACCCCUUAAGGACGGGGUUAAACGUUAUGAACAAAACAAAAUGUAAACAAAACCUGGCAUUUGCGCUACAUGUCUGUCCAACCGUAAUUCACCUCUUUCAUAGUAAAUGCACCCACCCUUAUUAUAUAUCAUUUUAUUCAGGGGAAACAGGGCUUUCAUUUUAUAUCAAAUAUUUAGCUAUGAAACAUAAUUUAAUAUGAAAUAAAUGGGAGAAAAUAUGAUUUUUUUUGAUUUUUUUAGUUCUACAUGACAUUUUAACGGUCAAUGUCAUAAUACUGUUUGCUUUUACUGCAAUAAAAUACACAUAUUUGUAUUCAGUAAAGUCUCACAUGUAAGACAGUACCCCCUAUGUACAGGUUUUAUGGCGUUUUGGGAAGUUACAGGGUCAAAUAUAGCACAUUACAUUUGAAAUUGAAAUUCACCAGAUUGGUUACGUUGCCUUUGAGACUGUAUAGUAGCCCAGGAAUGAAAUUUACACCCAUAAUAGCAUACCAUUUGCAAUAGUAGACAACCCGAGGUAUUGCAAAUGGGGUAUGUCCAGUCUUUUUUAGUAGCCAUUUGGUCACAAACACUGGCCAAAGUUAGCGUUAGUAUUUGUUUGUGUGUGAAAAAUGCAAAAAACGCCAAUUUUAGCCAGUGUUUGUGACUAAGUGGCUACUAAAAAAGACUGGACAUACCCCAUUUGCAAUACCUUGGGUUGUCUACUAUUGCAAAUGGUAUGCCAUCAUAGAGGUAAUUUUCAUUCUUGGGCUACCAUAGGGUCUCAAAGGCAACGUAACCAAUCUGGCGAAUUUUAAUGUGAAAAAACUGUAACGCAAGCCUUAUAUUUGACGCUGUAACUUUUGAAAACACCAUAAAACCUGUACAUGAGGGGUACUGUUGUACUCGGGAGACUUCGCUGAACACAAUUAUUUGUGUUUCAAAACAGUAAAAAAUAUCACAGCAAUAAUAUCGUCCGUGUAAGUGCUGUUUGUGCAUGAAAAAUGCAAAAACGUCACUUUUACUGGCGAUAUCAUCGUUGUAAUACAUUUUACUGUUUUGAAACACUAAUAUUUGUGUUCAGCGAAGUCUCCCGAGUAGAACAGUACCCCCCAUGUACAGGUUUUAUGGUGUCUCGGAAAGUUAUAGGGUUAAAUAUAGUGCUAGCAAAUUAAAUUCCCUUUACUUUUGGCAUGGGUUGUCAGGCAGGUCCUGCUAAUUGUAAUUAAUUAAGAUACCUAAUUAUGUAAAAAUAUUACAUAAAUAUAUAUGUAGAAUUAAUAUAUGUAAAUAUAUACGUGUGUGUGUAUAUAUCGAUAUCAUUUUUUUUUAAAAUAUUUUUAUUUAUAUAUAUAUUUAUAUAUAUAUAUAUAUAUAUAUAUAUAUUCAUUUCACAAUACAGUUAGAACGAAAUAACACACAUCUAUAUAUUUUUUAAUUAUUUAUUUUUAAUUAUUUUUUAAUUUUAUUUUUUAACGUAUUUACAUUUUUUUUAAUAUAUUAUAUAUAAAUAUAUAUCUAACAAUAAUUAUAUAUUUAAUCAGUAUCAGUCUACGUGUAAUUUGAUAUUCAUAUAAAAUAUAUAUAUAUUAAUAGUAAAAUACACCUAGACGGUGUACGUGUGUGUGUGUGUGUGUGUGUGUGUGUGUGUGUGUAUGUAUAUGUGCAUAUAUAUACUUAGAAUAUAUAUAUAUAUAUAUAUAUAUAAUGAUCUAAGUAUAUAUUUUAUUUUUUUACACUAUUUAUUUUAUUUUUAUUUUCAGCCAGCUACCCCCGGCCAUGUGAUUGUGGGGUCUUCGAGGGGGGUCUUCGAGGAGGACGGACGUGCCGCGGGGGGCUCCCUGGGAGUCCCCCUGCGAUCGCCGGCGACCAGGUAAGUACCGAAAGACCGGAGGGUGUACUAUUACGCCCGGCGGCGUUUAGAGCCGCUUAGAAUAGGGCGUAAUAGUACGCCCUCCGGUCUUAAGGGGUUAAAGGGACACUAUACUCACCAUAACAACUACAGCUUAAUGUAGUUGUUCUGGUGAGUAUAAUAGCUCCCUUCAGGCAUUUUCAUGUAAACACUGCCUUUAUAUUGCCUCUGGGGACACCUCCAAGUGGCCACUCCUUAGAUGUGAUUCCUGGGUCAGUGCUGCCGAAAAAGCAGCCCUGACGUUCAGCGUCCCCAUGCUCUGCAUGGAGACACUGAAUUUUCCUCAUACAGAUGCAUUGAUUCAAUGCAUCUCUAUGAGGAGGUGCAGCUUGGCCAAAACUGCAUUUUUGGCCCCGCCCUGUGCCCAUUUUAGCCUAUGGGAAAGCAUUGGAUUGGCUAAAAAUCUGCCAUUUUGAUGUCACAAAGGGGGCGGAGCGAGCGCCGGCAGACCCGAGCGGCGCUGGAUAUAAUGAAAAAAACUUUUAUAGGGUGGCAAACCACCUUAAUGGUGGGUUUAACACUAUAGGGUCCGGAAUACAUGUUUGUGUUCCUGACCCUAAAGUGAUCUUUUAAGUGGUCCAGUGUUUUCUUGGUGUUGGCCAUUUCUCUACUUGAACUUUAGUGUGAAUUAUUUGAUCUCUCAACCCUCUCAGAACUACUGAAUAUAUGUACUAAGAUAACUUUUGCAAUGCAGGUUUACCAGCUGCUGCUUUUUCAGGAGUAGUUCCAGUCUAUUGCUGACCAGACUGCUUUCAGUUAAAAGCUGUCCCGUUUUUUUGUUUUUGCUAAAUACUAUGAAUGCUUCUCUGGGAGAAUAAUACAUUUGGUGUGGUGCCAAUUUAUUUUUAUUUGUGUUUCUUUAACCCCUUAAGGACACAUGACAUGUGUGACAUGUCAUGAUUCCCUUUUAUUCCAGAAGUUUGGUCCUUAAGGGGUUAAAGAAGCAAACAUUUUAUUUUACUGCAGUUGUCAUUUGAGUUCUUUAUACAAAUUCUCUCUUUUGUCUUAUCUGGGCAUAAUUCCUCUUCUAAGAUUGUGUUUUAUAUUCAUUUUCAUCUACUUUACAUUUUGUUUGUUUCUCCUUUAGGUCUGAAAGUAUGGUCUGACCCAUUCGCAGGAAGUAAAAAGUAAUCUGCAUUACAUAAAGACAAAUCAUUUCCUCUAAAUGCUAAAUUAUGGAAAAUCCUUCUAUUUUGUCUGCUUUUGUACAAAAUAUAAAUAAAACAAGCACUUUUGGUUUA
rnacentral:lncRNA from 1 species